UAUCCCCCGCGUGACUGGCGAUUACGGCAUGCCCGGCAUGCCCGAGGUGGACUGACCCACCGGGAAGCGCGGGGCGCAUUUUUGCCGUUCGCCUGGGCAGCCGUG
rnacentral:ncRNA from 2 species